UACGGAGGGGGCUAGCGUUGUUCGGAAUUACUGGGCGUAAAGGGCGCGUAGGCGGGAUGGCAAGUCGGUCGUGAAAUCCCUCGGCUCAACCGAGGAACGUCGAUCGAUACUGCUGUUCUUGAGGAUUGCAGAGGAGACUGGAAUUCCCGGUGUAGCGGUGAAAUGGUGUAGAGAUCGGGAGGAACGACCGGUGGCGAAGGCGGGUCUCUGGGCA
rnacentral:rRNA from 1 species